AGUCGACGCUUUUUCUUUCACCGGAGCUUGCUCCACCGAAAGAAAAAGAGUGGCGAACGGGUGAGUAACACGUGGGUAACCUGCCCAUCAGAAGGGGAUAACACUUGGAAACAGGUGCUAAUACCGUAUAACACUAUUUUCCGCAUGGAAGAAAGUUGAAAGGCGCUUUUGCGUCACUGAUGGAUGGACCCGCGGUGCAUUAGCUAGUUGGUGAGGUAACGGCUCACCAAGGCAACGAUGCAUAGCCGACCUGAGAGGGUGAUCGGCCACACUGGGACUGAGACACGGCCCAGACUCCUACGGGAGGCAGCAGUAGGGAAUCUUCGGCAAUGGACGAAAGUCUGACCGAGCAACGCCGCGUGAGUGAAGAAGGUUUUCGGAUCGUAAAACUCUGUUGUUAGAGAAGAACAAGGAUGAGAGUAAAAUGUUCAUCCCUUGACGGUAUCUAACCAGAAAGCCACGGCUAACUACGUGCCAGCAGCCGCGGUAAUACGUAGGUGGCAAGCGUUGUCCGGAUUUAUUGGGCGUAAAGCGAGCGCAGGCGGUUUCUUAAGUCUGAUGUGAAAGCCCCCGGCUCAACCGGGGAG
rnacentral:rRNA from 1 species